rnacentral:rRNA from 1 species
UACGUAGGGGGCAAGCGUUGUCCGGAUUUAUUGGGCGUAAAGAGCGUGUAGGCGGCCUGAAAGGUCAGCUGUGAAAACUCGAGGCUCAACCUCGAGACGUCGGUUGAAACCAUCUGGCUAGAGUCCGGAAGAGGAGAGUGGAAUUCCCGGUGUAGCGGUGAAAUGCGCAGAUAUCGGGGAAGAACACCCGUGGCGAAGGCGGCUCUCUGGGACGGUACUGACGCUGAGACGCGGAAAAGCGUGGGGGAGCGAAACAGG